CCUGGAGAAUGCUGUACACUACCCGGGCACUGUUGCCAUAGGUCGGGUCAUCAGCAUCUGUGGCUGUCACCUGGAUAACAGAGAUGUGAUCUGAAGAAUGUAGGAAAAAAGCAUUCAUUGGAACCUUCGUGGUGUUGACUGUGGGACUAUCACGUCAGAGGGUUUCUACUUCAUACCUGUGAGGAAAGAGGGCUGCACAGAGAAGUCAAGAAGACUGAACAGAACUUUCUUGGGUUUCUCCACUGAGUUUGAUGCCAGUGAAAUGAAAUCUCCAUAAAAACUCAAAAGGACAAACUCAUCUAGCAUCCCAAUAGCCGGACAUGUGGAGACUCUCGGAGGAUGACAUGUACGGAGAAGGCCUGGAAGCUUCACACACCUUCUUGUCUUGUACAUCUGUUCAUCUGUAUGUAAUAUCCUUUAUAAU